rnacentral:rRNA from 1 species
AUUGAACGCUGGCGGCAGGCCUAACACAUGCAAGUCGAGCGGAUGAAGGGAGCUUGCUCCUGGAUUCAGCGGCGGACGGGUGAGUAAUGCCUAGGAAUCUGCCUGGUAGUGUGGGAUAACGUCCGGAAACGGGCGCUAAUACCGCAUACGUCCUGAGGGAGAAAGUGGGGGAUCUUCGGACCUCACGCUAUCAGAUGAGCCUAGGUCGGAUUAGCUGGUUGGUGGGGUAAAGGCCUACCAAGGCGACGAUCCGUAACUGGUCUGAGAGGAUGAUCAGUCACACUGGAACUGAGACACGGUCCAGACUCCUACGGGAGGCAGCAGUGGGGAAUAUUGGACAAUGGGCGAAAGCCUGAUCCAGCCAUGCCGCGUGUGUGAAGAAGGUCUUCGGAUUGUAAAGCACUUUAAGUUGGGAGGAAGGGCAGUAAGUUAAUACCUUGCUGUUUUGACGUUACCAACAGAAUAAGCACCGGCUAACUUCGUG